UUACGGUCAUAUGACGUUGAAACACGAGUUCUCGUACGAUCACUGAAAUUAAGUAACGUCGAGCCUAGACAGUACCUAGAUGAGUGACAACUUGGGAAUAACAGGUGCUGUAAG